UGCAACGACGAAAACCUUACCUACCCUUGACAUGUCCGGAAUCCCGAAGAGAUUUGGGAGUGCUCGCAAGAGAACCGGAACACAGGUGCUGCAUGGCUGUCGUCAGCUCGUGUCGUGAGAUGUUGGGUUAAGUCCCGCAACGAGCGCAACCCUUGUCAUUAGUUGCCAUCAUUUGGUUGGGCACUCUAAUGAGACUGCCGGUGACAAACCGGAGGAGGGUGGGGAUGACGUCAAGUCCUCAUGGCCCUUAUAGGUGGGGCUACACACGUCAUACAAUGGCUGGUACAAAGGGUUGCCAACCCGCGAGGGGGAGCUAAUCCCACAAAGCCAGUCGUAGUCCGGAUCGUAGUCUGCAACUCGACUACGUGAAGUCGGAAUCGCUAGUAAUCGUGGAUCAGAAUGUCACGGUGAAUACGUUCCCGGGUCUU
rnacentral:rRNA from 1 species